UACGGGGGGGGCAAGCGUUGUUCGGAAUUCCUGGGCGUAAAGGGCUCGUAGGCGGCCAACUAAGUCCGACGUGAAAUCCCCAGGCUUAACCUGGGAACUGCGUCGGAUACUGGAUGGCUUGAAUCCGGGAGAGGGAUGCGGAAUUCCAGGUGUAGCGGUGAAAUGCGUAGAUAUCUGGAGGAACACCGGUGGCGAAGGCGGGUCUCUGGGCAGUAACUGACGCUGAGGAGCGAAAGCGUGGGGAGCGAACAGG
rnacentral:rRNA from 1 species